rnacentral:sRNA from 1 species
UUAGCACCACCACCAUUACAACAACCAUCAUCAUUACCACAGGUAGCGAUGCGGGCUGACGCGUAACAGGAAAAACAGAAAAAAGCCCGCACCUAAACAGUGCGGGCUUUUUUUU